rnacentral:rRNA from 1 species
AAAUUGAAGAGUUUGAUCAUGGCUCAGAUUGAACGCUGGCGGCAGGCCUAACACAUGCAAGUCGAACGGUAACAGGAAGCAGCUUGCUGCUUCGCUGACGAGUGGCGGACGGGUGAGUAAUGUCUGGGAAACUGCCUGAUGGAGGGGGAUAACUACUGGAAACGGUGGCUAAUACCGCAUAACGUCGCAAGACCAAAGAGGGGGACCUUUGGGCCUCUUGCCAUCAGAUGUGCCCAGAUGGGAUUAGCUUGUUGGUGAGGUAACGGCUCACCAAGGCGACGAUCCCUAGCUGGUCUGAGAGGAUGACCAGCCACACUGGAACUGAGACACGGUCCAGACUCCUACGGGAGGCAGCAGUGGGGAAUAUUGCACAAUGGGCGCAAGCCUGAUGCAGCCAUGCCGCGUGUAUGAAGAAGGCCUUCGGGUUGUAAAGUACUUUCAGCGGGGAGGAAGGUGUUGUGGUUAAUAACCGCAGCAAUUGACGUUACCCGCAGAAGAAGCACCGGCUAACUCCGUGCCAGCAGCCGCGGUA